rnacentral:rRNA from 1 species
AUUGAACGCUGGCGGCAGGCUUAACACAUGCAAGUCGAGCGGGGGGAGGUAGCUUGCUACCGGACCUAGCGGCGGACGGGUGAGUAAUGCUUAGGAAUCUGCCUAUUAGUGGGGGACAGCAUCUCGAAAGGGAUGCUAAUACCGCAUACGUCCUACGGGAGAAAGCAGGGGAUCUUCGGACCUUGCGCUAAUAGAUGAGCCUAAGUCGGAUUAGCUAGUUGGUGGGGUAAAGGCCUACCAAGGCGACGAUCUGUAGCGGGUCUGAGAGGAUGAUCCGCCACACUGGGACUGAGACACGGCCCAGACUCCUACGGGAGGCAGCAGUGGGGAAUAUUGGACAAUGGGGGGAACCCUGAUCCAGCCCUGCCGCGUGUGUGAAGAAGGCCUUAUGGUUGUAAAGCACUUUAAGCGAGGAGGAGGCUACUUUAGUUAAUACCUAGAGAUAGUGGACGUUACUCGCAGAAUAAGCACCGGCUAACUCUGUGCCAGCCGCCGCAGUAA